CUGGUCCUACGGGGCGCAGCAGUAGGGAAUCUUCCACAAUGGACGAAAGUCUGAUGGAGCAACGCCGCGUGAGUGAGGAAGGGUUUCGGUUCGUAAAGCUCUGUUGGUAGUGAAGAUAGGUCGAGGUAGUAACUGGCCUUUAUUUGACGGUAAUUACUUAGAAAGUCACGGCUAACUACGUGCCAGCAGCCGCGGUAAUACGUAGGUGGCAAGCGUUGUUCGGGUUUAUUGGGCGUAAAGCGAGUGCAGGCGG
rnacentral:rRNA from 1 species